UACGUAGGGACCUAGCGUUGUCCGGAAUCAUUGGGCGUAAAGCGCGCGUAGGCGGCCCGGUAAGUCCGUUGUAAAAGUCGAAGGCUCAACCUUCGAAAGCCUAUGGAUACUGCCGGGCUAGAGUACGGAAGAGGCGAGUAGAAUUCCUGGUGUAGCGGUGGAAUGCGCAGAUAUCAGGAGGAAUACCCAUAGCGAAGGCAGCUCGCUGGGACGUUACUGACGCUGAGGCGCGAAAGCGUGGGGAGCGAACAGG
rnacentral:rRNA from 1 species